rnacentral:lncRNA from 1 species
AUGUCCACUUUUUUUAUUCUAGUAAUGCUAUCUUUUCUUAUUCCAUUUCCAACUAACACUUUAUCUUUUAUGAUUCUAACAUUGAUGCAUUGCAAAUCUAGAUUAAGUCUUGCUUUUGAUCUUUUAUGAUAUAUUGAAUGCAUUUUCUUUUUUUUCUUUUUUUUUCAAGUUUUUUAUUUUUUUUCAAAUUUACGCUCUAACAGCAACUUGGAUUCCACAUUUUCUUAGAUAAUUCGAUUUUGUUCCUUAAUUUGGUAACUUUUUUCUAAUAUCUCAUUUUUGCUUGUCUUGAAUUACUACCUUCAAGCAUUCCUAUUAUAGCAGAUAGUAGUCAUUUGGAUAUGUAUGUGGUGUGUCAAUUCAAGCCUAAAUGCUUCUGAACAAAAUGCAUCCACUCUAUAAGCUCUGAUGUAAGUGCUUCUACCGUUCGCCAACCUUGAUUCUUAUCAAAUGAUGACAUGCCACUUUUGAAAUAACUUACUAGUUUGUAAUUAUUUGAAACUUCAAUACCCACCGCAAGCUCACCAAUUGAGAGGUGCAGUACCUUUUGUAAGGUAGUCUCAUCAAUCCCAAUAAUGCUCUCUUCAACAACAUUCAAAUCAUCCUCUGAAUCAUAAUUUGAUAUAUAAUCCUCUAUCAAUUCCACAUCAAUUGGCGGCAAGUUAUCUGAUUUUCUCAGAAAUUGAUAUAAUUAUACAUUUCUAAAGUAUCUUUACCUUGUUGAAGACCAACAGAUUUCCAACUUCAUUGGUUCAAUAUUAGUAAGAACUACUAGAAACAACAAUUUCAAAUUGUUCUUAGCUCUCACAUUUUGGCAGCUUUCUUCUUUGUCUGUAGC